GCUCUUUCCUCCUCUCUAUCAUCAAAUGCUUUAUGGCAGUAGUUUUGAGUAUUCUUCGAACUGUUAUGGAGUUUUUUUCCGAGUUAGAUUUGUUUCUUACUAUUUCACCCAUUUCUGAGGAUGUAAUUUUUGGUUCUUUGUUCAUUAUAUUGACUAUUUUUUUGUCUCGGCCUGUAAGGUCCUGAGGAUAUCUGUUUCACGUGUCAUUUGUCAGAUCUUUUUUGCCAUGAAAUCAUUCAAUCACACCACUCACGCGCUGCUAUCUUAUUCUAUACUGAACCGAUAAUGUCGGAUGUAACACCUAAAUGGUGUGGCGGGCUACGUUAGUUUACGCACCGUGGGACACUAUUCUAUUGCAUGCAAAACCUAUCUUAUUCUUAGUCAAUGAUAUUACGAAGAUUUAUGAUAGAGAUUUAAUAAAAAGAAAAUGUACAAAUAUAUCCCUGUAA